rnacentral:rRNA from 1 species
UCCAGUUGAUCCUGCUGGAGGUUGCUGCUAUUGGGGUUCGACUAAGCCAUGCAAGUUCAGGGGACUUCGGUCACCGGCGAAAUGCUCAGUAACACGUUGAUAAUCUGCCUUAUGGUCAGGGAUAACCUUGGAAAACUGAGGCUAACACCUGAUAGGGAAAUAUGUCUGGAAUGAUUUUUUCCUUAAAAGCAAUGCCAUAAGAUGAGACAGCGGCGGAUUAGGCUGUUGGCGAGGUAAUGGCUCACCAAACCUAUGAUCCGUACGGGUCAUGAGAGUGAUAGCCCGGAGAAGGAUACUGAGAAACUGAUCCUAGCCCUACGGGGUGCAGCAGGCGCGAAACCUUUACAAUGCACGAAAGUGUGAUAGGGGGACCCCAAGUGCUCAUGCAUUGCAUGGGCUUUUGCCAAGUCAAAAUUGCUUGGAGAAUAAGUGGUGGGAAAGACUGGUGCCAGCCGCCGCGGUAACACCAGCGCCACGAGUGGGAACCAUUUUUAUUUGGCCUAAAGCGUCCGUAGCAGGUUUAAUAACUCUCUUGUGAAAUCGUUCAGCUUAACUGGACGGCGUGCAGGAGAAACUGUUAAACUAGGAAUCGGGAGGAGUCAGAAGUAUUCUUGGGGGAGCGGUAAAAUGUGAUAAUCCCAAGAGGACUACCUGUGGCGAAGGCGUCUGACUAGAACGAAUUCGACUGUGAGGGACGAAAGCUAGGGGAGCGAUCCGGAUUAGAUACCCGAGUAGUCCUAGCCGUAAACGCUGCGAGCCAGGCGUUGCAUAUUCCACGUGAAUGUGCAGUGUCGAAACGAAGGUGAUAAGCUCGCCGCCUGGGAAGUAUGGUCGCAAGACUGAAACUUAAAGGAAUUGGCGGGGGAGCACCACAAGGGGUGCGGCGUGCGGUUUAAUCUAAUUCAACACCGAGAAUCUCACCAGAAGCGACGGCAGAAUGAAAGUCAGUCUGAAGGGCUUACUAGACAAGCCGAGAGGUAGUGCAUGGCCAUCGUCAGCUCGUGCCGCAAGGUGUCCUGUUAAGUCAGGCAACGAGCGAGACCUAUACCUAUAAUUGCUAACGGCCGAAUUUCGGGACCGAACACAUUAUGGGGACUGCCCUGGAAACAGGGAGGAAGGUGUAGGCUACGGUAGGUCUGUAUGCUCCGAAUCUUUUGGGCUACACGCGCGCAACAAUGGUAGUGACAAAGGGACACAACUCCGAAAGGAGAAGUUAAUCCUCGAAACGCUAUCUUAGUACAGAUUGAGGUUUGUAACUCAGCCUCAUGACGCUGGAAUCCCUAGUAAUCGGAAUUCAUCAAAUUCCGGUGAAUAUGUCCCUGCUCCUUGCACACAUCGCCCGUCAAACCACUCGAGCAGGGUUUAGGUGAGUAUUAUCUUUUUGGGUAAUCCGAACCUGAGCUCAGUGAGAUGGGUUAAGUCGUCACAAAGUA